rnacentral:rRNA from 1 species
AUUGAACGCUGGCGGCAGGCCUAACACAUGCAAGUCGAACGAGUGGCGGACGGGUGAGAAAUGUCUGUGACAAUGCCUGAGGGAGGGGGAUAACUACUGGAAACGUUAGCUAAUACCGCAUACCAUCGGCUAUGCACAGAUGGGAUUAGCGAGUCGGUGGGGUAAAGGCGCACCUAGGCGACGAGCCCUAGCUGGUCUGAAAGGAUGACCAGCCACACUGGAACUGAGACACGGUCCAGACUCCUACGGGAGGCAGCAGUGGGGAAUAUUGCACAAUGGGCGAAAGCCUGAUGCAGCCAUGCCGCGUGUAUGAAGAAGGCCUUCGGGUUGUAAAGUACUUUCAGCGGGGAGGCGUUACCCGCAGAAUAAGCACCGGCUAACUCCGUGCCAGCAGCCGCGGUAAUAC